GACGAACGCUGGCGGCGUGCCUAAUACAUGCAAGUCGAACGAACUCUGGUAUUGAUUGGUGCUUGCAUCAUGAUUUACAUUUGAGUGAGUGGCGAACUGGUGAGUAACACGUGGGAAACCUGCCCAGAAGCGGGGGAUAACACCUGGAAACAGAUGCUAAUACCGCAUAACAACUUGGACCGCAUGGUCCGAGUUUGAAAGAUGGCUUCGGCUAUCACUUUUGGAUGGUCCCGCGGCGUAUUAGCUAGAUGGUGAGGUAACGGCUCACCAUGGCAAUGAUACGUAGCCGACCUGAGAGGGUAAUCGGCCACAUUGGGACUGAGACACGGCCCAAACUCCUACGGGAGGCAGCAGUAGGGAAUCUUCCACAAUGGACGAAAGUCUGAUGGAGCAACGCCGCGUGAGUGAAGAAGGGUUUCGGCUCGUAAAACUCUGUUGUUAAAGAAGAACAUAUCUGAGAGUAACUGUUCAGGUAUUGACGGUAUUUAACCAGAAAGCCACGGCUAACUACGUGCCAGCAGCCGCGGUAAUACGUAGGUGGCAAGCGUUGUCCGGAUUUAUUGGGCGUAAAGCGAGCGCAGGCGGUUUUUUAAGUCUGAUGUGAAAGCCUUCGGCUCAACCGAAGAAGUGCAUCGGAAACUGGGGAACUUGAGUGCAGAAGAGGACAGUGGAACUCCAUGUGUAGCGGUGAAAUGCGUAGAUAUAUGGAAGAACACCAGUGGCGAAGGCGGCUGUCUGGUCUGUAACUGACGCUGAGGCUCGAAAGUAUGGGUAGCAAACAGGAUUAGAUACCCUGGUAGUCCAUACCGUAAACGAUGAAUGCUAAGUGUUGGAGGGUUUCCGCCCUUCAGUGCUGCAGCUAACGCAUUAAGCAUUCCGCCUGGGGAGUACGGCCGCAAGGCUGAAACUCAAAGGAAUUGACGGGGGCCCGCACAAGCGGUGGAGCAUGUGGUUUAAUUCGAAGCUACGCGAAGAACCUUACCAGGUCUUGACAUACUAUGCAAAUCUAAGAGAUUAGACGUUCCCUUCGGGGACAUGGAUACAGGUGGUGCAUGGUUGUCGUCAGCUCGUGUCGUGAGAUGUUGGGUUAAGUCCCGCAACGAGCGCAACCCUUAUUAUCAGUUGCCAGCAUUAAGUUGGGCACUCUGGUGAGACUGCCGGUGACAAACCGGAGGAAGGUGGGGAUGACGUCAAAUCAUCAUGCCCCUUAUGACCUGGGCUACACACGUGCUACAAUGGAUGGUACAACGAGUUGCGAACUCGCGAGAGUAAGCUAAUCUCUUAAAGCCAUUCUCAGUUCGGAUUGUAGGCUGCAACUCGCCUACAUGAAGUCGGAAUCGCUAGUAAUCGCGGAUCAGCAUGCCGCGGUGAAUACGUUCCCGGGCCUUGUACACACCGCCCGUCACACCAUGAGAGUUUGUAACACCCAAAGUCGGUGGGGUAACCUUUUAGGAACCAGCCGCCUAAGGUGGGACAGAUGAUUAGGGUG
rnacentral:rRNA from 1 species